rnacentral:rRNA from 1 species
UACGUAGGGGGCAAGCGUUGUCCGGAAUCAUUGGGCGUAAAGCGCGUGUAGGCGGCCCGGUAAGUCCGCUGUGAAAGUCGGGGGGCUCAACCCUCGAAAGCCGGUGGAUACUGUCGGGCUCGAGUACGGGAGAGGCGAGUGGAAUUCCUGGUGUAGCGGUGAAAUGCGCAGAUAUCAGGAGGAACACCGAUUGCGAAGGCAGCUCGCUGGAACGUUACUGACGCUGAGACGCGAAAGCGUGGGGAGCAAACAGG